rnacentral:rRNA from 1 species
GACGAACGCUGGCGGCGUGCUUUACACAUGCAAGUCGAACGGUGAACUCGGUGCUUGCACCGGGGGAUCAGUGGCGAACGGGUGAGUAACACGUGAGCAAUCUGCCCCUAACUCUGGGAUAACUGCGGGAAACCGCAGCUAAUACCGGAUACGACCCAGGCAGGCAUCUGCACUGGGUGGAAAGUUUUUCGGUUAGGGAUGAGCUCGCGGCCUAUCAGCUUGUUGGGGGGUAAUGGCCUACCAAGGCGACGACGGGUAGCCGGCCUGAGAGGGCGACCGGCCACACUGGGACUGAGACACGGCCCAGACUCCUACGGGAGGCAGCAGUGGGGAAUAUUGCACAAUGGGCGAAAGCCUGAUGCAGCGACGCCGCGUGAGGGACGAAGGCCUCGG